UACGUAGGGGGCAAGCGUUGUCCGGAUUUAUUGGGCGUAAAGAGCGUGUAGGCGGUUUGGUAGGUCCGCUGUGAAAACUCGAGGCUCAACCUCGAGACGCCGGUGGAAACCAUCAGGCUAGAGUCCGGAAGAGGAGAGUGGAAUUCCUGGUGUAGCGGUGAAAUGCGCAGAUAUCAGGAGGAACACCAAUGGCGAAGGCAGCACUCUGGGACGGUACUGACGCUGAGACGCGAAAGCGUGGGGAGCAAACAGG
rnacentral:rRNA from 1 species